UUUGUUAACAGGUAGCUUUUUUGAUUUUUCUGCUGCUCUUCUCCUUGCUUUUCUACAGUUGUCAAUGUGCAUUACAUAAACGCUUCAUGAGCAUGCUCUUACCAGUCAACACAUUAAUGUACUCCUUAUAGACCUGUUCAUACUAUGUGGUGUAGAUGAACACAACCUUUUUAGAAUAGUUAAACAAUCAGGUGAUUAUUGUUUAGAUUCAGCAAAAAGUUCACUCAGUUUUCUGGUAAAUAGCCACAUGUUUAUUGGUUUCUGGUCCUGUGAAGUCAAUCUAUGUUGGAAACAGCAGGUGCAUUUUGUUUUGUUAGUGUUUAACGCCAUAGGUAUAAGAGUACAUUGGACUUGACAACAAGCAGAAGAAUGAGAACAUUCACAAUUUGGACACCAUUGAUUAACUGAUCCAUCUCCAGCAGCCGUGAAGUAAGAGCUGUGUGUGUUGUCUUAUAUCAAAAAAACAAGGACCUUAUGUAAAACUUAUUUUAGGCACUAGCUUGAUGAGUGUAAGGGGGAUGAUUUCAGAAGACUAAGGAAGAGAGACAGAAGCGUAUUGACUGAUUCAACAUGCUGCUUAGCAACUACUGAAUUUGACUUUUGGAACUUGCUCAAAAUAAGACUCUUCAGCAUUCUUGAACCAUGGCCAGACCUGUUGGAAACUUCUGCUUAUCAGGCUAGAGCAUCCACCAAGGGAAUCUUCUCUUCUGAUAGCUUUCUGUUUGCUAAUUAUUCACGGGAAAGUGAGGUGUUGUGGUGUCUUUGCCCAUGCUGUCUGUCCAGAAUAUGGCCAACCAGUCAUUUGGAUAAUAAUCUUUGAUAGAGGUUAUGUGACUGAGGAAAGUAACUGGUUUUAAAAGUUUCAGUGUGCUUAUUGUCAGUCCAUCCACUAAACUGGAUUGCAAUUUUUCUACUGCCUGAAUUGAGAACACAGAUAAACCAGUAACUGUGUAUCCAACAAUAUCCUCUGCCACAGUUUGUCAUGUGCCUCCUU
rnacentral:lncRNA from 1 species